rnacentral:rRNA from 1 species
UACGUAGGGUGCGAGCGUUAAUCGGAAUUACUGGGCGUAAAGCGUGCGCAGGCGGUUUUGUAAGUCUGACGUGAAAGCCCCCGGCUCAACCGGGGAGGGUGGCUGCAAACUGGGCUUCUUGAGGGGGAUAGAGGAAGGUGGAAUUCCGGGUGUAGCGGUGAAAUGCGUAGAGAUCCGGAGGAACACCAGUGGCGAAGGCGGCCUUCUGGGUCCGCCCUGACGCUGAGGCGCGAAAGCGUGGGGAGCGAACGGG